rnacentral:lncRNA from 1 species
AAAAACUUGUCUAAGCCCUUUAGAAUAUGUAGGGUAGUUCCACAUACCAUUUUCCACAUUCGAACUUCGCAAUUGACCAAAUUCGAAGCAUUGCAAUUGAUAAUGCAUUUGCGAUGCAAUUUUUCAAUUCCAGUUACUUUCUCACUUCAGUAACUUGUCAAAACCUUUCUAAGGUCUAUCAAACGUCGUAGAUCAGUUCCAAAAGCCAUUCCGACCCUUGAACUUGUCAAUAGGCCCAGAUUC